rnacentral:siRNA from 1 species
UAUUGGGCAGAUGAUGGUUA